CACCUGAAUAUAUUGCUCAAAGUGGCCAUAAUGCCAGGAGAGUGAUCCAGUUUAUAAGGAAAACCGGAUCGAAAACCUUAACAAAUUGACCCCGUUUAUGAGGAAAACCGAGCCGAAAACCAGACAAGUAACGAGUGUUACAAGAAAAGGAGAGGAAUAGGAUGCCCAACAUAAGGCAAGACCUAGCUAGCAUACUAACAGGACCAGGUAGAUGAGGGGUGCGUCGAGGGAUCACAAUACCAAGACUCUACAAACAGCCUAACGCACCGCACCGGCGUGCGUAUCAAACCCCACAGCACAACGGAGGAGCAUCCACAAUCAACGAGUGCCAAAGCUUAACAUGAACCUUGUGCCAAAGCUUAACACGAACCUUGACUGAGCGCUCCGCCACGGAAGUUCAAGACGAUUAGCAAGUCGGAGAGGCGUCAUUGCGUCGUCAUUAAGCAAAGGU
rnacentral:lncRNA from 1 species